rnacentral:ncRNA from 1 species
CUGACUGCGAGUGUGCGGGUGGCAAAUCUGUACGCGAAAUGAAAGCAAGAGUACGGGAAAGUGCAACACUUUACGAUGUUAUGGUCUGUUCCUACGAUCGGCCACGAUCUAAGAGAGACGUUUAGGUAGGAGCAUACCUGUUAGGACCCGAAAGGUGAUGAGCUAUGCCUGGGUAGAAUGUAGUCAGGGGAAACCCUGAAGGGGGUUCGUAGUGACCCUGACGUGCAAAUCGUUCGUCAAACUUGCGAAUAGGGGCGAAAGUAUAAUCGAACCGUCUAGCAGCUGGUUUCUUUCGGUGUUUCUCUGUGGAUACCUGGAGUUUCAUUAGUUUUAUCAGGUAAAGCGAAUGGUUAGAACCAUCGGACGCGUAAGGCCCUCGACCGAUUCCCACACUUGAAAUGGGUACGACGCAGUGGUUACUGUACUGAACUGCGGGGACUAGUACAAAGUACAAGUGGCCCGUUGUCGGUAAGCAGAAGUGGUGAUGAAGGAUGUUCGUAACGGUUGGUUAAGCUGCCAAAAUGCUCGCUCACCAGAAGCCAUAUUGUUUCAUUUUGACAGCAGGACGGUGAUUAUGGAGGUGGUUCUCUAUUCACCACGGUGCAAAACACUUAACAAGCAGAUGAAAGUGAAGAGAAUUGAGGUCUUGUUCGAAGAGACAGGACUGGAUGUGUACGGGGGCCAGGGGGGAGGUGAAUAGAACUUCUUAGUUGCGAAGGUGAAACGUUCAGUGC